rnacentral:rRNA from 1 species
UGCAAGUCGAGCGAACAGAUGAAGUGCUUGCACUUCUGACGUUAGCGGCGAACGGGUGAGUAACACGUAAGGAAUCUACCUAUAAGCGGGGGAUAACAUUCGGAAACGGGUGCUAAUACCGCAUAAUAUCUUCUUCCGCAUGGAAGAAGAUUGAAAGACGGCUCUGCUGUCACUUAUAGAUGACCUUGCGGUGCAUUAGUUAGUUGGUGGGGUAACGGCCUACCAAGACGAUGAUGCAUAGCCGACCUGAGAGGGUGAUCGGCCACAUUGGGACUGAGACACGGCCCAAACUCCUACGGGAGGCAGCAGUAGGGAAUCUUCCGCAAUGGGCGAAAGCCUGACGGAGCAAUGCCGCGUGAGUGAAGAAGGCCUUCGGGUCGUAAAACUCUGUUAUAAGAGAAGAACAAAUUGUAGAGUAACUGCUACAGUCUUGACGGUAUCUUAUCAGAAAGCCACGGCUAACUACGUGCCAGCAGCCGCGGUAAUACGUAGGUGGCAAGCGUUGUCCGGAUUUAUUGGGCGUAAAGGGAGCGCAGGUGGUUUCUUAAGUCUGAUGUGAAAGCCCACGGCUUAACCGUGGAGGGUCAUUGGAAACUGGGAAACUUGAGUACAGAAGAGGAAUGUGGAACUCCAUGUGUAGCGGUGGAAUGCGUAGAUAUAUGGAAGAACACCAGUGGCGAAGGCGACAUUCUGGUCUGUUACUGACACUGAGGCUCGAAAGCGUGGGGAGCAAACAGGAUUAGAUACCCUGGUAGUCCACGCCGUAAACGAUGAGUGCUAGGUG